UUACGACCAUACCACGUUCAAAACCCAGUUCCCGGACGAUCACUGAAGUUAAGCAACGUCGAGCCUGGCCAGUACCUAGAUGGAUGACCGCUUGUUUACACCAGGUGCUGUAAU